GGGGAAUAUUGGACAAUGGGGGGAACCCUGAUCCAGCCAUGCCGCGUGUGUGAAGAAGGCCUUUUGGUUGUAAAGCACUUUAAGCGAGGAGGAGGCUCUUCUAGUUAAUACCUAGGAUGAGUGGACGUUACUCGCAGAAUAAGCACCGGCUAACUCUGUGCCAGCAGCCGCGGUAAUACAGAGGGUGCGAGCGUUAAUCGGAUUUACUGGGCGUAAAGCGUACGUAGGCGGCUUUUUAAGUCGGAUGUGAAAUCCCUGAGCUUAACUUAGGAAUUGCAUUCGAUACUGGGAAGCUAGAGUAUGGGAGAGGAUGGUAGAAUUCCAGGUGUAGCGGUGAAAUGCGUAGAGAUCUGGAGGAAUACCGAUGGCGAAGGCAGCCAUCUGGCCUAAUACUGACGCUGAGGUACGAAAGCAUGGGGAGCAAAC
rnacentral:rRNA from 1 species